rnacentral:rRNA from 1 species
UACGUAGGGGGCUAGCGUUGUCCGGAAUCAUUGGGCGUAAAGCGCGUGUAGGCGGUUCGGUAAGUCCGCUGUGAAAGUCGGGGGCUCAACCCCUCGAAAGCCGGUGGAUACUGUCGGGCUAGAGUACGGAAGAGGCGAGUGGAAUUCCUGGUGUAGCGGUGAAAUGCGCGAUAUCAGAGGAACACCAGCGGCGAAGGCGGCGCUCUGGGCCGGAAACUGGACGCUGAGGAGCGAAAGCGUGGGUAGCAAACAGG